AGUCCACGCUGUAAACGAUGUCGAUUUGGAGGUUGUGCCCUUGAGGCGUGGCUUCCGGAGCUAACGCGUUAAAUCGACCGCCUGGGGAGUACGGCCGCAAGGUUAAAACUCAAAUGAAUUGACGGGGGCCCGCACAAGCGGUGGAGCAUGUGGUUUAAUUCGAUGCAACGCGAAGAACCUUACCUACUCUUGACAUCCAGAGAACUUAGCAGAGAUGCUUUGGUGCCUUCGGGAACUCUGAGACAGGUGCUGCAUGGCUGUCGUCAGCUCGUGUUGUGAAAUGUUGGGUUAAGUCCCGCAACGAGCGCAACCCUUAUCCUUUGUUGCCAGCGGUUCGGCCGGGAACUCAAAGGAGACUGCCAGUGAUAAACUGGAGGAAGGUGGGGAUGACGUCAAGUCAUCAUGGCCCUUACGAGUAGGGCUACACACGUGCUACAAUGGCAUAUACAAAGAGAAGCGACCUCGCGAGAGCAAGCGGACCUCAUAAAGUAUGUCGUAGUCCGGAUUGGAGUCUGCAACUCGACUCCAUGAAGUCGGAAUCGCUAGUAAUCGUAGAUCAGAAUGCUACGGUGAAUACGUUCCCGGGCCUUGUACACACCGCCCGUCACACCAUGGGAGUGGGUUGCAAAAGAAGUAGGUAGCUUAACCUUCGGGAGGGCGCUUACCACUUUGUGAUUCAUGACUGGG
rnacentral:rRNA from 1 species